CGUGGGUAACCUGCCCAAGAGAUCGGGAUAACACCUGGAAACAGAUGCUAAUACCGGAUAACAACAGAUGAUGCCUAUCAACUGUUUAAAAGAUGGUUCUGCUAUCACUCUUGGAUGGACCUGCGGUGCAUUAGCUAGUUGGUAGGGUAACGGCCUACCAAGGCGAUGAUGCAUAGCCGAGUUUAGAGACUGAUCGGCCACAUUGGGACUGAGACACGGCCCAAACUCCUACGGGAGGCAGCAGCC
rnacentral:rRNA from 1 species